UUCAGAUAUCUGGAGUGUUGGUUGCACUGUUAUUGAGCUACUGACAUGUUCUCCACCAUAUUAUGAACUACAGCCCAUGCCUGCACUGUUUCGCAUUGUUCAGGAUGUGCAUCCACCAAUACCAGAAGGAUUCUCUCCUGAGAUUACUGAUUUUCUGCGUCAAUGUUUUCAAAAGGAUGCGAUACAACGACCUGAUGCAAAGACAUUGUUGAUGCACCCAUGGCUGCAAAAAUCGAGACAACAGCCUGUUCGAUCACCGAGGUGUUGCCUGUGAGUUUCUGCUGCCUGGUGGUGGGGUUGACAUGCCUUCAGACAAAUCAAGCUGUGCAGGUUCUUGAGUAGUUGUUGGCAGUUUGGAGUGAUUGUUGG